GAUGAACGCUGGCGGCGUGCUUAACACAUGCAAGUCGAGCGAAGCACUUACCAUUGACUSUUCGGAAGAUUUGGUAAAUGACUGAGCGGCGGACGGGUGAGUAACGCGUGGGUAACCUGCCUCAUACAGGGGAAUAACAGUUAGAAAUGGCUGMUAAUKCCGCAUAAGCGCACAGUACCGCAUGGUACGGUGUGAAAAACCGAGGUGGUAUGAGAUGGACCCGCGUCUGAUUAGGUAGUUGGUGGGGUAACGGCCUACCAAGCCGACGAUCAGUAGCYGGCCUGAGAGGGUGAACGGCCACAUUGGGACUGAGACACGGCCCAGACUCCUACGGGAGGCAGCAGUGGGGAAUAUUGCACAAUGGGGGAAACCSUGAUGCAGCGACGCCGCGUGAAGGAAGAAGUAUCUCGGUAUGUAAACUUCUAUCAGCAGGGAAGAAAAUGACGKACCKACARAGAGUAGGA
rnacentral:rRNA from 1 species